GGCGAGAUGGCCGAGCGGUCUAAGGCGCUAGAAUCAGGUGUAAGUCACGUGAUCUAGUCUUUCGAGGCGGGGGUUCGAAUCCCCCUCUCGUCA